rnacentral:rRNA from 1 species
AUUGUACGCUGGCGGCAGGCCUAACACAUGCAAGUCGAGCGGAUGAAGGGAGCUUGCUCCUGGAUUCAGCGGCGGACGGGUGAGUAAUGCCUAGGAAUCUGCCUGGUAGUGGGUGAUAACGUCCGGAAACGGGCGCUAAUACCGCAUACGUCCUGAGGGAGAAAGUGGGGGAUCUUCGGACCUCACGCUAUCAGAUGAGCCUAGGUCGGAUUAGCUAGUUGGUGGGGUAAAGGCCUACCAAGGCGACGAUCCGUAACUGGUCUGAGAGGAUGAUCAGUCACACUGGAACUGAGACACGGUCCAGACUCCUACGGGAGGCAGCAGUGGGGAAUAUUGGACAAUGGGCGAAAGCCUGAUCCAGCCAUGCCGCGUGUGUGAAGAAGGUCUUCGGAUUGUAAAGCACUUUAAGUUGGGAGGAAGGGCAGUAAGUUAAUACCUUGCUGUUUUGACGUUACCAACAGAAUAAGCACCGGCUAACUUCGUG